rnacentral:rRNA from 1 species
UACGUAGGGGGGCUAGCGUUGUUCGGAUUUAUUGGGCGUAAAGAGCGUGUAGGCGGCCAGGUAGGUCUGGUGUGAAAACUCGAGGCUUAACCUCGAGAUGUCAUCGGAAACCAUCUGGCUAGAGUCCGGAAGAGGAGAGUGGAAUUCCUGGUGUAGCGGUGAAAUGCGCAGAUAUCAGGAAGAACACCAAUGGCGAAAGCAGCUCUCUGGGACGGUACUGACGCUGAGACGCGAAAGCGUGGGGGAGCGAACAGG